UACGUAGGGGGCAAGCGUUGUCCGGAUUUAUUGGGCGUAAAGAGCGUGUAGGCGGCUAGAUAGGUCCGUUGUGAAAACUGGAGGCUCAACCUCCAGCUGUCGAUGGAAACCAUCUGGCUAGAGUCCGGAAGAGGAGAGUGGAAUUCCUGGUGCAGCGGUGAAAUGCGUAGAUAUCGAGAGGAACACCUGCGGCGAAGGCGGGUACUGGGCCGACACUGACGCUGAAGCGCGAAAGCUAGGGGGAGCGAACGGGG
rnacentral:rRNA from 1 species